GAUGAAGAACGUAGCGAAAUGCGAUAAGUAAUGCGAAUUGCAGAAUUCCAGUGAGUCAUCGAAUCUAUGAACGCACAUUGCGCCCUUUGGUAUUCCGAAGGGCAUGCCUGUUCGAGCGUCAUUAUCACCCCUCAAGCCCUCGGCUUGGUGUUGGACGGUUUGGUGGAGGCCCCCUCGGGGGUUCCUGCCCCUCCCAAAGACAAUGACGGCGGCCUCGUUGGACCCCCGGUACACUGAGUUCUUCACGGGACACGUAUCGGACACAUGGGUUUACGGGACACGGUCUGCCUCCCCUCAGGGAGAAUCUUUCUAAGGUUGACCUCGGAUCAGGUAGGGAUACCCGCUGAACUUAAGCAUAUCAAUAAGCGGAGGA
rnacentral:misc_RNA from 1 species